AGAGGACUCAUAAUCAAGGGCAAUAAACUAGAUCCAUAGCAGUUUAAUGGUUCAAAGGGAUGGGAGCUGUUUAUGUCAGUCCUGUCACUUCUUGAAAAUGGAUAAGGCUCCAAAAAAGAAGAGAAGAGCGGGUAUAGCGCUUCCUGGUUUCCAUGAGAUGGCAUUCAGUGCUGGGGGUUGGGUUUGGAGACACAGAAGCGGGUAGGUGCCUGAUCCUGAGUGUGCACGGGCACAUCGUAGGGAUCUUCUGGAGAUGCCGAAUGCGUUUGCGCCUCUUGGGAAGCUGCAUUUGUAGAGUAAUCCUGGAAAACAUACAAAUCAGGCACCUAAAUAUGUGCCGCAGAUGCAGGACUAAGAAUCCGAGUUUCUUGGAAAGCCGCUCUCUAAACUACAGGGUAAAGCAGGGUCAAGCAAAGCAUUUCGGAGUCUCCAAGGGCUUACAAGAAAUCCUCUCGCUGGGUUCCUGUUUGGUGUAGAUCUCUCUUCUAAGCCUCCUUCCCUUGAACUACAUAGAUUCCUGCUGAAUUUCACCUUUUCAAGGUGAGCGAUCCAAAGUUUGUUCUAAGCAAACU
rnacentral:lncRNA from 1 species